rnacentral:rRNA from 1 species
AACUCGCCUACACGAAGUUGGAAUUGCUAGUAAUCGUGGAUCAGCAUGCCACGGUGAAUACGUUCCCGGGUCUUGUACACACCGCCCGUCACACCAUGGGAGCUGGUAACACCCGAAGUCAGUAGCCUAACCGCAAGGAGGACGCUGCCGAAGGUGGGAUUAGCGACUGGGGUGAAGUCGUAACAAGGUACC